rnacentral:sRNA from 1 species
UUCCGGUUACGAUCUAGACUGGAAAUGCUGUUUAGGCAUCUACUCACCUAUAAAGAUACCUGUUAAUAGCAUUCGUGUUGCCUGCCUUCGGGUAACGCAAGGAAUAGAUUACAAAGGAAAGAUCGUCAAAUGAGCAAACUGACAGGAACCGUUAAAUGGUUCAACGAUGAUAAAGGUUUUGGUUUUAUCUCUGCUGCUGAUGGCAAAGAUGUUUUUGUUCACUUCAGCGCCAUCCAGGCUCAGGGUCGCCGUACUCUGAGAGAAGGCCAAAACGUUGAGUUUAUCGUUACAGACGGCCAGAAAGGCCCACAAGCCAGCGAAGUGGUCGCCCUGUCUUAACCGUAAGGCAUCGCGCAACUAAGAAAAACGCCGCAAAAGCGGCGUUUUAUCAU